rnacentral:rRNA from 1 species
UAGGGGCUGACGCCUGCCCGGUGCUGGAAGGUUAAGAGGAGUGCUUAGCUUCGGCGAAGGUACGAAUUGAAGCCCCAGUAAACGGCGGCCGUAACUAUAACGGUCCUAAGGUAGCGAAAUUCCUUGUCGGGUAAGUUCCGACCUGCACGAAUGGCGUAAUGAUGGCCAGGCUGUCUCCACCCGAGACUCAGUGAAAUUGAACUCGCUGUGAAGAUGCAGUGUACCCGCGGCAAGACGGAAAGACCCCGUGAACCUUUACUAUAGCUUGACACUGAACAUUGAGCCUUGAUGUGUAGGAUAGGUGGGAGGCUUUGAAGUGUGGACGCCAGUCUGCAUGGAGCCGACCUUGAAAUACCACCCUUUAAUGUUUGAUGUUCUAACGUUGACCCGUAAUCCGGGUUGCGGACAGUGUCUGGUGGGUAGUUUGACUGGGGCGGUCUCCUCCUAAAGAGUAACGGAGGAGCACGAAGGUUGGCUAAUCCUGGUCGGACAUCAGGAGGUUAGUGCAAUGGCAUAAGCCAGCUUGACUGCGAGCGUGACGGCGCGAGCAGGUGCGAAAGCAGGUCAUAGUGAUCCGGUGGUUCUGAAUGGAAGGGCCAUCGCUCAACGGAUAAAAGGUACUCCGGGGAUAACAGGCUGAUACCGCCCAAGAGUUCAUAUCGACGGCGGUGUUUGGCACCUCGAUGUCGGCUCAUCACAUCCUGGGGCUGAAGUAGGUCCCAAGGGUAUGGCUGUUCGCCAUUUAAAGUGGUACGCGAGCUGGGUUUAGAACGUCGUGAGACAGUUCGGUCCCUAUCUGCCGUGGGCGCUGGAGAACUGAGGGGGGCUGCUCCUAGUACGAGAGGACCGGAGUGGACGCAUCACUGGUGUUCGGGUUGUCAUGCCAAUGGCACUGCCCGGUAGCUAAAUGCGGAAGAGAUAAGUGCUGAAAGCAUCUAAGCACGAAACUUGCCCCGAGAUGAGUUCUCCCUGACCCUUUAAGGGUCCUGAAGGAACGUUGAAGACGACGACGUUGAUAGGCC